rnacentral:piRNA from 1 species
UCUCUUGGUCAUCUUUGCUUGCUGCUUA